ACGAACGCUGGCGGCAGGCCUAACACAUGCAAGUCGAGCGCUACCUUCGGGUGGAGCGGCGGACGGGUUAGUAACGCGUGGGAAUAUACCCAGUUCUAAGGAAUAGCCACUGGAAACGGUGAGUAAUACCUUAUACGCCCUUCGGGGGAAAGAUUUGUCGGAUUUGGAUCGGCCCGCGUUAGAUUAGGUAGUUGGUGGGGUAACGGCCUACCAAGCCUACGAUCUAUAGCUGGUUUUAGAGGAUGAUCAGCAACACUGGGACUGAGACACGGCCCAGACUCCUACGGGAGGCAGCAGUGGGGAAUCUUGG
rnacentral:rRNA from 1 species